AAGAAAAUCCGUCUGAUCGCAGAAUAUCAACAACACUAGCUGCUGAUGAAGCUGAAGCCAACACUAGAACAGACACCACCUGCAAUACAAAAAUGACUAAAGAGAUGACGAUCAUGAUCAUGACGAAGAAGAAGAAGGAGAAGAAGGAGAAAUAAAAGUGAGACAAGUUGCUAGUGUUUCUGGUUCGCACGUUGUUUGUGAGUGUUACGAAUGGUGGAAAAGAGAAGACUGUUCAUGUUGAAAGAGUUGUGGUCUGUAUUCAUCAGACAAAGCAGAGCAAAUGUCGGAGAAAACUGUUUUAUGCAACACUUUUUAUUCCUUCCUUCUUCGUUUCUUAAUUCCUACUUUUUGAAUUUUAUUU